rnacentral:rRNA from 1 species
AAGGACAUCAGUGGCGAAGCGGCACUGGACAGAUACUGACGCUGAGCACGAAGCGUGGGAGCAAACAGGAUUAGAUACCCUGGUAGUCACGCCGUAAACGAUGUCAACUAGCUGUCUGUGGACUUGAUCCGUGGGUAGCGGAGCUAACGCAUUAAGUUGACCGCCUGGGGAGUACGGCCGCAAGGUUAAAACUCAAAUGAAUUGACGGGGGCCCGCACAAGCGGUGGAGCAUGUGGUUUAAUUCGAUGCAACGCGAAGAACCUUACCAUCCCUUGACAUCCACAGAAUUCGCUAGAGAUAGCUUAGUGCCUUCGGGAACUGUGAGACAGGUGCUGCAUGGCUGUCGUCAGCUCGUGUUGUGAAAUGUUGGGUUAAGUCCCGCAACGAGCGCAACCCCUAUCCUUAUUUGCCAGCGCGUUAUGGCGGGAACUCUAAGGAGACUGCCGGUGAUAAACCGGAGGAAGGUGGGGACGACGUCAAGUCAUCAUGGCCCUUACGGGAUGGGCUACACACGUGCUACAAUGGCAAGUACAGAGGGCAGCAAUACCGCGAGGUGGAGCGAAUCCCACAAAGCUUGUCGUAGUCCGGAUUGGAGUCUGCAACUCGACUCCAUGAAGUCGGAAUCGCUAGUAAUCGUAGAUCAGAAUGCUACGGUGAAUACGUUCCCGGGCCUUGUACACACCGCCCGUCACACCAUGGGAGUGGGAUGCAAAAGAAGUGGCUAGUUUAACCUUCGGGAGGACGGUCACCACUUUGUGUUUCAUGACUGGGGUGAAGUCGUAACAAGGUAACC